rnacentral:rRNA from 1 species
GAUGAACGCUGGCGGCGUGCCUAAUACAUGCAAGUCGAGCGAACAGACGCGGAGCUUGCUCCUCUGACGUUAGCGGCGGACGGGUGAGUAACACGUGGAUAACCUACCUAUAAGACUGGGAUAACUUCGGGAAACCGGAGCUAAUACCGGAUAAUAUAUUGAACCGCAUGGUUCAAUAGUGAAAGACGGUUUUGCUGUCACUUAUAGAUGGAUCCGCGCCGCAUUAGCUAGUUGGUAAGGUAACGGCUUACCAAGGCAACGAUGCGUGGCCGACCUGAGAGGGUGAUCGGCCACACUAGAACUGGGACACGGUCCAGGCUCCUACGGGAGGCAGCAGUAGGGAAUCGUCCGCAAUGGGCGAGAGCCUGACGGAGCAACGCCGCGUGAGUGAUGAAGGUCUUCGGAUCGUAAAACUCUGUUAUUAGGGAAGAACAAAUGUGUAAGUAACUAUGCACGUCUUGACGGUACCUAAUCAGAAAGCCACGGCUAACUACGUG